AUCUCUCAGGCUUAGAGCUUUAUACUCACUCCUUUGACAGCCACGCUUCUAUUUCUUUUUAAAUCUCAAAGGUGUGGGAUUACAAGUCCUGUCUUAGUAAUAAACUUUUGCAGAUAAACCCUGAGAUGGUAUAACUGCAUCCUUUCUUGGCACCUUAAAUCAAAUUAACUAAAUACUUAGUGAGGAGAGAAAAGGAAAACACAGUUUUUUUGCAACGUAUCUGACUGGGUGAGAAGCCACUGCUGCAGCAUAAAGAACCGACGGGAAUCUGGGCUUUCCCACUCUGGAAUGAAGGGGGGAAUUACGGGUUGGUGGUCGGCUUCAUGUUAGGAGGACACCCCUCCAUCUGUUCACAGCUCAGCCUGUUUCCAAUUUAAAGCCCAGAUUUCAAUACAAACCUCAAUUUCUUUUCCCCAUUUUAAAUGCAAAGCAAGACUUGUGAAUCAUAGUGUCUCUGCUCCUGGGAUUCAGACCAAAUUUCCCCCCAAAAUUCUCAGGCUAUUUGUUUGAAUACCUGCUUACAGUGGUACACAAUGGGCAGCUUUGAGAAGAAAAAUUGAUAAUCUUCACGGAAGAGUAAUUUGAAUGAAAUUACACUUGACAGCCUGUCUCCAAGCAAACAAGAGGAACGAGGGAGCCUGAGCUAAGCUCUGAGGACUUGCCCAAGCCACUGCUGUUGGAGCUUCCCAGGAAAAAAAAAAAAAAAAAAAAAAAAAAAAAAA
rnacentral:lncRNA from 10 species